UACGUAGGGGGCAAGCGUUGUCCGGAAUCAUUGGGCGUAAAGAGCGUGUAGGCGGUCCGGUAAGUCGGCUGUGAAAGUCCAGGGCUCAACCCUGGGAUGCCGGUCGAUACUGCCGGACUAGAGUUCGGAAGAGGCGAGUGGAAUUCCUGGUGUAGCAGUGAAAUGCGUAGAUAUCAGGAGGAAUACCGAUGGCGAAGGCAGGUCUCUGGGCUAGAACUGACGCUCAUGCACGAAAGCGUGGGGAGCAAACAGG
rnacentral:rRNA from 1 species